AGGCCUAACACAUGCAAGUCGAGCGGCCGUAGACAAUACGGCGGCGGCAGACGGGAGAGUAACACGUGGGAACGCGCCCUUCGGUUCGGAAUAACUCAGGGAAACUUGGGCUAAUACCGGAUACGCCCUUACGGGGAAAGAUUUAUUGCCGAAGGAACGGCCCGCGUCCGAUUAGCUUGUUGGUGAGGUAACGGCUCACCAAGGCGACGAUCGGUAGCUGGUCUGAGAGGAUGACCAGCCUCACUGGGACUGAGACACGGCCCAGACUCCUACGGGAGGCAGCAGUGGGGAAUAUUGGACAAUGGGCGCAAGCCUGAUCCAGCCAUGCCGCGUGGGUGAUGAAGGCCCUAGGGUUGUAAAGCCCUUUCAGCGGGGAAGAUAAUGACGGUACCCGCAGAAGAAGCCCCGGCUAACUUCGUGCCAGCAGCCGCGGUAAUACGAAGGGGGCUAGCGUUGCUCGGAAUUACUGGGCGUAAAGCGCACGUAGGCGGAUUGUUAAGUCGGGGGUGAAUCCUGGAGCUCAACUCCAGAACUGCCUUCGAUACUGGCCGAUCUCGAGUUCGG
rnacentral:rRNA from 1 species